UACGUAGGGUGCGAGCGUUAAUCGGAAUUACUGGGCGUAAAGCGUGCGCAGGCGGUUUUGUAAGCCAGAUGUGAAAUCCCCGGGCUCAACCUGGGAAUGGCAUUUGGGACUGCAAGGCUCGAGUUUGGCAGAGGAGACUGGAAUUCCUGGUGUAGCAGUGAAAUGCGUAGAUAUCAGGAGGAAUACCGAUGGCGAAGGCAGGUCUCUGGGCUGAAACUGACGCUGAGGAGCGAAAGCAUGGGGAGCGAACAGG
rnacentral:rRNA from 1 species